CAUCUCUGGACCACAAAGUUAAUCACCUGGUAUAGACAAAUUAAGUUUCUGGGCUAUCCUGUUAAUUCAUCCAGUACCAACCUUGGAAAGUGCCUUUUAUUCACACUUGAAAGGGAAAGGAUGUGUAUACUCGAAUUCUUAGUAAUUGCUGUGUGUUCUACAUGUAAAGUAUGGGCAAAGAGUUUCAUUGACUGAAAUUGAAUUUCUUUGAACAUAUGUCCUAUUUCCCAUCAGAACAAAAAACAAAGAAGUAGUUUGUCUGAUUUAGAGGAAAAAAGUGAAUUGAUGCAAGGUCUUAUGAAAGCACAGGUCUGAGGCUUGUGGUCUGGACUCUGGAAAGUGGUUUAUGGAUAGACCAGAAUAUGCACAUAACUAAACUCAAAAACUCAACAACAGAAAUGAAUGAAAUGCAUGUUCUGGUCAACUCUCUAACUUCACAAUUUACACAUCAUUUUUCAAACAAAUAUUUCCUACAACUCUACAAAUAGCUGCCCUGGUAGCUGCUGCUUUCCAACCUUCAGGAUGCUGCCCAAGGACAAUAAUAAGAAAAAUAUGCCAAAAAGUCAGUCAUGAAAGACAAAGACCCAGUGAACAAAUCUGGAGGCAAGGCCAAAAAGAAGUGGUCAAAGCAAAAUUUGGGACAAACUCAAAAACUUCGUCUUGUUUGACAAAGCCACACACGACAAACUCUAUAAGGAAGUUCCCAACUACAAGCUUAUAGCCCCAGCUCUUGAGGCUGAGAGGGUGAAGAUUGUUGUUCCUUGGCCAGGGAAGUUCUUCAGGAUUACUUUACUAA